rnacentral:rRNA from 1 species
GAAGUGCUGUGAUGCCCUUAGAUGUUCUGGGCUGCACGGUAAGCUUAACCCCCUAUAACCCUUAUUAUAUUAACGACUUUAUGCUAACGAUAUUUUACAGCGCGCUACACUGACAGAGCCAGCGAGUACUCCCUUGACCGAAAGGUCCGGGUAAUCUUGUGAAAACUCU